UACGUAGGGUGCGAGCGUUAAUCGGAAUUACUGGGCGUAAAGCGUGCGCAGGCGGUUCGUUGUGUCGGUGGUGAAAUCCCCGGGCUUAACCUGGGAAUGGCCAUGGAAACUGGCGAACUGGAGUGCGGCAGAGGGGGGUGGAAUUCCGCGUGUAGCAGUGAAAUGCGUAGAGAUGCGGAGGAACACCGAUGGCGAAGGCGGGUAGCUGGGCCGACACUGACGCUGAUGCGCGAAAGCCAGGGGAGCGAACGGG
rnacentral:rRNA from 1 species